UACGGAGGGUGCAAGCGUUAUCCGGAUUCACUGGGUUUAAAGGGUGGCGUAGGUGGGUCUGUAAGUCAGUGGUGAAAUCUCCGAGCUUAACUUGGAACUGCCAUUGAUACUAUAGAUCUUGAAUAUUGUGGAGGUCAGCGGAAUAUGUCAUGUAGCGGAUGAAUGCUUAGAUAUGACAUAGAACACCAAUUGCGAAGGCAGCUGGCUACACAUAUAUUGACACUGAGG
rnacentral:rRNA from 1 species